rnacentral:misc_RNA from 1 species
UGCGCGUACCUAUCUUGUAGUGAGAUGAAUGCUGUUUUGGUGGUAGGGCCCUUCUGAAGAGAGGGCACCGCUGCCAGCAGUAUAGUCUCACCACUAUAAAACUCUUUUAUUAUUUUCUAGAUUUUUCAUUGCUGAGUGGCAUAACUAUAAAAAAGUUAAAACUUUCAACAACGGAUCUCUUGGCUCUAGCAUCGAUGAAGAACGCAGCGAAAUGCGAUAAGUAAUGUGAAUUGCAGAAUUCAGUGAAUCAUCCAAUCUUUGAACGCACAUUGCGCCCGGCUGAAUUCUGCCAGGCGUGCGCGUCCUAGCGCCAUUUCACCCCUCAAGACAUCCUUUGUUCUUGGCGUUGGAGGUCCUGUUCUCCCCCCACCCAGCCGCCCAAAAGUGUCGACUGAAAUAAAUGGCCUCACCCCGGGGAGACACCAAAGUUGCCACAUUUGCCACCCUUGCAAAAUGGUGGAACACCCCCCUAAACCCCCGCCCCACUUUUGGAAAGGUUCUCACACAGAUGCCCUAAUAAGGUCGAAGAACCCCCUGAGGAACCCCCUAUGGCCAACUCC